UAGCUACGUUAAAUACGAGAAAUACAACGGGUCAAAGACAAGAUUCUCUCCACGGAUUCUGCGUAGAAGGAUCGACUUGCUUUUUCCGGACAAAGAAGUCUAUUAAUGAAGUAUGAAUAUUUAUGGAAGACGAAAUCCGAAUUGCAAUUCUCUAAUGAAUACAUUUGUCAUUGGAAUAUGGAAUUUUAGAAUUAUUCCAGUGCCGAGUUAUAUGGAAUAAAGAAAAGGGUAUGCAGUCUUGACGAGGAACUGCCUUCUCAUUGGUUGAUUUUUGAUGAAAAACGGCUUCUGAGAGCUCUGCAUCAUUUUCCGCCUUUAUUAUCUAUAGUCACCAAUUUUGUCGAAGGUCGCCUUACAAUUUAACAUGAAAUAUUGCUGUGCCUUCUAUAAAUGGCCAGCAAUACAAUAUGCACACGCAACCAAAGGAAUGCACCCGAUUAGGUUAAAUAAAUGCCGCUAUUCUAUUUCUCUUUUUAAAAACCCGCUUAGACCAGUUCAUGCCCCUUGCUUCAACGUUUUAGGUGCAAAGUAAUACGGAAAGAUGCAAUUUAGGUGCCAUAGAGGAGUGAAGUUAGGUUUUGCUAUAAAAAUUUAAGUUUAAAAAAGAGAAAGUUAUCAAGAGUUAUUAAGGAAUAUUUAGGUAGUUUAGCUAUAUUAAAACGAACCAUGUUUACUCGACAAAAUGCAUGUGUGAUAGACAGUAAAAAGACACUGCAUGUUAAGAAUUAAAGUUUUUAUUGUCAAUAAAAAUAUAUCUCCAUGAA